rnacentral:rRNA from 1 species
GACGAACGCUGGCGGCGUGCCUAAUACAUGCAAGUAGAACGCACAGUUUAUACCGUAGCUUGCUACACCAUAGACUGUGAGUUGCGAACGGGUGAGUAACGCGUAGGUAACCUGCCUGGUAGCGGGGGAUAACUAUUGGAAACGAUAGCUAAUACCGCAUAAUAUUAAUUAUUGCAUGAUAAUUGAUUGAAAGAUGCAACUGCAUCACUACCAGAUGGACCUGCGUUGUAUUAGCUAGUAGGUGAGGCAACGGCUCACCUAGGCGACGAUACAUAGCCGACCUGAGAGGGUGAUCGGCCACACUGGGACUGAGACACGGCCCAGACUCCUACGGGAGGCAGCAGUAGGGAAUCUUCGGCAAUGGACGAAAGUCUGACCGAGCAACGCCGCGUGAGUGAAGAAGGUUUUCGGAUCGUAAAGCUCUGUUGUAAGAGAAGAACGGGUGUGAGAGUGGAAAGUUCACACUGUGACGGUAUCUUACCAGAAAGGGACGGCUAACUACGUG